GAUGAACGCUGGCGGUAUGCUUAACACAUGCAAGUCGAACGGAGUACUUCGGUACUUAGUGGCGGACGGGUGAGUAACGCGUGAGAAUCUGCCUUCAGGUUCGGGACAACCACUGGAAACGGUGGCUAAUACCGAAUGUGCAGAGAUGUGAAAUAUUUAUAGCCUGAAGAUGAGCUCGCGUCUGAUUAGCUAGUAGGUGUGGUAAUAGCGCACCUAGGCGACGAUCAGUAGCUGGUCUGAGAGGAUGAUCAGCCACACUGGGACUGAGACACGGCCCAGACUCCUACGGGAGGCAGCAGUGGGGAAUUUUCCGCAAUGGGCGAAAGCCUGACGGAGCAAUACCGCGUGAGGGAGGAAGGCUCUUGGGUUGUAAACCUCUUUUCUCAGGGAAGAAAUUUUGACGGUACCUGAGGAAUAAGCAUCGGCUAACUCCGUGCCAGCAGCCGCGGUAAUACGGAGGAUGCAAGCGUUAUCCGGAAUGAUUGGGCGUAAAGCGUCCGCAGGUGGCUGUGUAAGUCUGCUGUUAAAGAGUCUGGCUCAACCAGAUAAAGGCAGUGGAAACUACACGGCUAGAGUGCGUUCGGGGCAGAGGGAAUUCCUGGUGUAGCGGUGAAAUGCGUAGAGAUCAGGAAGAACACCGGUGGCGAAAGCGCUCUGCUAGGCCGCAACUGACACUGAGGGACGAAAGCUAGGGGAGCGAAUGGGAUUAGAUACCCCAGUAGUCCUAGCCGUAAACGAUGGAUACUAGGCGUGGCUUGUAUCGACCCGAGCCGUGCCGUAGCUAACGCGUUAAGUAUCCCGCCUGGGGAGUACGCAGGCAACUGUGAAACUCAAAGGAAUUGACGGGGGCCCGCACAAGCGGUGGAGUAUGUGGUUUAAUUCGAUGCAACGCGAAGAACCUUACCAGGACUUGACAUGUCGCGAAUUUUGGUGAAAGCCGAAAGUGCCUUCGGGAGCGCGAACACAGGUGGUGCAUGGCUGUCGUCAGCUCGUGUCGUGAGAUGUUGGGUUAAGUCCCGCAACGAGCGCAACCCUCGUUUUUAGUUGCCAUCAUUAAGUUGGGCACUCUAGAGAGACUGCCGGUGACAAACCGGAGGAAGGUGGGGAUGACGUCAAGUCAGCAUGCCCCUUACGUUCUGGGCUACACACGUACUACAAUGCUACGGACAAAGGGCAGCUACACAGCGAUGUGAUGCUAAUCUCAUAAACCGUAGCUCAGUUCAGAUCGCAGGCUGCAACUCGCCUGCGUGAAGGAGGAAUCGCUAGUAAUUGCAGGUCAGCAUACUGCAGUGAAUUCGUUCCCGGGCCUUGUACACACCGCCCGUCACACCAUGGAAGCUGGUAGUGCCCGAAGUCAUUACCCCAACCGUUCGCGGGGGGGGAUGCCUAAGGCAGGACUGGUGACUGGGGUGAA
rnacentral:rRNA from 1 species